AAUUUAAUUUUUGUUACAUUUUGAAGUGAUCAAUUUUUUUUUGCUGAUUGUUUGCUUUGGAAUCUCUUUCACGUAGCAUGAUUUAUGGGUUUGUUAUUUAUGGUUUCCUGGGUUCAUACUUAUGUCAUGCAAUUAUGCAAGUAUUGGGUGAAACAGGGAAUUCGGAAAUAGCUUUUGUUAUCGUUGGAGUAAUGUUGUGUACAUUCGACUUCAGAGCAGGGUAAUUGGAAAUAGCCUCUGUUAUUGUAGGGCUAAGGUUGUGUACAAAUGAUUCGCCUUAACCCGGCCUAGGCGAGAGUACAUUAGUGUAAUGGUGUUGGAACAUUGGGUUGAGCUAAAGAGUGUGUGUUUUUUGAUUGGUUGUAAUGGUGCAGAUAUUGGCUGGCCUCUUGAAAAUAAAUGAUGGGAAUGUUUAUGUUAAGAAGCCAAAAAACUUUGUAUUCCAGAACCCAGAUCAUCAGGUCAUUUGUGGGUCUCAUGGCUGGCUUCUUCUGUAUGAAUAAGAGUUGUGAUGUUUGUGCUUGGUUUUGUUGCUGCAUUAGUUAAUGACCUCAUCUUCGCGAAUUCGCCAUUUGAUGCGUGAUCAUGAGGAAAAUCCUCAAGUUGGUGGUGUUAAAAUCUCGUGAAUAACAGGUACCAAGUAUUUGUCACCGUCUUUAUUGGAUUGGGAUUUGGGAUUGUAAUACUCUGUGAUAUGAAUGCGGUAAUUUGUGAUGUUAGACUGCUUAUGUCAAUUGUGUUGGAUACUCUUUAAUCAUUUGGAAUGCGUGGCUUCAGUUUUUCUUCAUAUUUGGUUUUUUGCUGUGUUGUAUGCGAAGAAAAUUUCCCUAAUGUCGUCUUCUGUUUAAAGGGUCAUAUACAUGUUACGCAUGGGACAUUGAGACUAGCAUCAUACAGAAAACUGAAAAUCAUAGAGUCGAGCAACGAACAUGUCUGAUGAUUUUUGGUUCCCUUAAUCUUCAUUUAGAUUUGUUUAAUAAGUGUAGGCUUAUAGGUAUAUACACUAAUUUGUCUAUUUCUGUAAGCCACAACUUUUAGUUCUCAGAUGCAUGUCUUUUUGACUUUUUCUUUGUUUUAUUAUCAGAGUGAUCUGUCAGAUUUUGGACUCUAUUGAUUUAUUUAGGCUGGAUUCAUGGUCUCUCUUUGGAGUGAGGUGAUUUUUUCCCUUCCAUUUAUCAUUUUUAAUCACUUAAUGCUUAAUCCACAACUUCAUAGUGGAAAUUAUGGUCCCAGGGAGCUACAAUUAUUUUCUUUAAGGAGAGUGGUUAAUAAAUUUUUACUUGUGUGUUUCAGAGCUGUAAUACAUUAUCAAAUUCACUAAGUCCGACAUGUUUUCACAAAUGUGGUUGUUACUUGUUAGUCUGUUGGUAGAGUUUGUAAUACCCUUAUAGUCUAUGCUUUAUUUACUGUUUGAGGGCUACUUCUCAUGGGUUGAGUAGCCUGCUUCUGCCUCUCCAAUUACUGAUAGGACAAAACAACACUUGGGCUCAACGAGAAUACCUCACUGAAGAAGUCAUGGCUGGAUGACUGGGUCCAUACGUUUAGUCUGAUCGUGUUUUUUUUUCAUCUUUAGCUGGGCUGAUUGUUCUUUUCUUCCUAGUUCCUAGAGGCUAGAGCUGGUCAUGGGCAAGGCCCUAAAAUGCCAACCUAUUUUGUCCCAGGUUAUCUCCACUUGUUCAAGUUGAAUAAUAUGCCCAAUCUCAACUAAUAGGAUCAGAUCUAUUUCUUACUAUUUACUAUAACAUUGUUUUUAAUAUCCUAGAUAACAAAUAUCUAUACAGGGUAUAUUGGAGAGUGGCAAUCUGAUGGGUGCAUGAAGAUUGAAGAUCAUUGAUCUUAUGAAAAACAUUUUCAAGUUUUCACAGGGAUAAUAUUAUUUCACUAGUUCAGUUGAAAACUUGGAGAAUACUUACUGUCUUGCCUCAGAAAUUGAUGCAGUAUGUCUGAUCUAUGCUGCACAUAAGAAUAAGCAACUCUGUGGCGUCAUUUGAAUUAUAUAGUUUCUUUGUUCUGAGCUCAUCUGUCUGUUUCAGAUAUAGGUUUAUGGAAAUAGCUUCCAGUCUUUCCUUGUUGUAGUUAACCCCAACAAGCGGGCUCUUGAAUCUUGGGCUGAAGAAUACAGUGUUGUAUGUGAUUUUAGUUCACUAUGCCAGCAUCCUAGAGCAAAGGCGUAUUUGUUAUGGAGUAACUGGUGUUAUGGAGUAACUGGGUUCUGCUUCUGUUCUGGUUGCACUUGGCUUGAUGCUGUUGUUGAGUGACAGAUGCAGGGUUCCACUUUGAAGAGUAGUUAGAUGUUCAGUCAGAUGGGAAGCUGUUGUUGCAACCGCUUAAAGAUGCUUCUUUUGGAGUGAGUUGCAGUUACAUUAUGACUACUUUUGGGGCAUCAAGCUGGCCUUGUUGUCUAAUCAUGUAUUCAAGUUUCAAGGGGAUCCAAGGCAUUGUAAAGCCAAGGGUACUUGUUUAUAUAACAAGGGUUAUGACUUAUGUAAUAGUUUUGGGUCUUCUAUACAAGUGAUUUUGAGUUGAGAUAUAAUUUUUUCUGUCUCAUUUGUAUUAUGAACAUCAUUUUAAUAAGAAUCUUUACAUUUAUCUA